CGCUGGCGGCAGGCCUAACACAUGCAAGUCGAGCGGUAGAGAGGUGCUUGCACCUCUUGAGAGCGGCGGACGGGUGAGUAAUGCCUAGGAACCUGCCUGGUAGUGGGGGAUAACGCUCGGAAACGGACGCUAAUACCGCAUACGUCCUACGGGAGAAAGCAGGGGACCUUCGGGCCUUGCGCUAUCAGAUGAGCCUAGGUCGGAUUAGCUAGUUGGUGGGGUAAUGGCUCACCAAGGCGACGAUCCGUAACUGGUCUGAGAGGAUGAUCAGUCACACUGGAACUGAGACACGGUCCAGACUCCUACGGGAGGCAGCAGUGGGGAAUAUUGGACAAUGGGCGAAAGCCUGAUCCAGCCAUGCCGCGUGUGUGAAGAAGGUCUUCGGAUUGUAAAGCACUUU
rnacentral:rRNA from 1 species